rnacentral:rRNA from 1 species
AUGAACGCUGGCGGCGUGCCUAAUACAUGCAAGUCGAGCGAACAGACGAGGAGCUUGCUCCUUUGACGUUAGCGGCGGACGGGUGAGUAACACGUAGGUAACCUACCUAUAAGACUGGGAUAACUUCGGGAAACCAGAGCUAAUACCGGAUAAUAUUUCGAACCGCAUGGUUCGAUAGUGAAAGAUGGCUUUGCUAUCACUUAUAGAUGGACCUGCGCCGUAUUAGCUAGUUGGUAAGGUAACGGCUUACCAAGGCAACGAUACGUAGCCGACCUGAGAGGGUGAUCGGCCACACUGGAACUGAGACACGGUCCAGACUCCUACGGGAGGCAGCAGUAGGGAAUCUUCCGCAAUGGGCGAAAGCCUGACGGAGCAACGCCGCGUGAGUGAUGAAGGUCUUCGGAUCGUAAAACUCUGUUAUUAGGGAAGAACAAACGUGUAAGUAACUGUGCACGUCUUGACGGUACCUAAUCAGAAAGCCACGGCUAACUACGUG